GGACACCUCAGAGAGAAGGCAGCAUUAGAACUUGGAGAUGGAGCUACCUCAUCAGAGAGGGCUGUUCUACAGCUGAGAUUCAUUUUUAUUGAAGGCGGUGUGAGGCAGACAUGAAAGAGGGCAGAAUGAAAAGGACAACAUUUUACUUAAAAGGGAGACAAACUUUACAUUAUUAGAGACAAUCAUGAGAAACAUUAAUGAGUGCAGCUUAUCACUAGAAACACUUCUCCAGAAGGAUGCAUUUUAGGAGAUGGAAUUUUUAAGAAGUUCCUGUAUUCCACAUCCUGAAGCUUGAAACUCCCCUGUGUUGCAGAACCUGGAAGUAUGAAUUUUAUGGUAAGAUAACAAACUGAGAAACGUG
rnacentral:lncRNA from 1 species